UACCAGCUCUCCGAGUGGUAGGGAUGAUUAUUGGGCUUAAAGCGUCCGUAGCCGGCUUAGCAAGUUUCCUGUUAAACCCAGCGACCCAAUCGUUGGAUCGCGGGAAAUACUACUAGGCUAGGGGGCGGGAGAGGUCAACGGUACUUCUGGGGUAGGGGUGAAAUCCUAUAAUCCCGGGAGGACCACCAGUGGCGAAGGCUGUUGACUAGAACGCGCUCGACGGUGGAGGGACGAAAGCGUGGGGUAGCAAACCGGAUUAGAUACCCGGGUAGUCCCAGCUGUAAACGAUGCGAGCUAGGUGUUGGGAUGGCUACGGGCCAUUUCAGUGCCGCAGGGAAGCCAUUAAGCUCGCCGCCUGGGGAGUACGGCCGCAAGGCUGAAACUUAAAGGAAUUGGCGGGGGAGCACCACAAGGCGUGAAGCUUGCGGUUC
rnacentral:rRNA from 1 species